AGUGAACGCUGGCGGUAGGCCUAACACAUGCAAGUCGAACGGCAGCACAGUAAGAGCUUGCUCUUACGGGUGGCGAGUGGCGGACGGGUGAGGAAUACAUCGGAAUCUACUUUUUCGUGGGGGAUAACGUAGGGAAACUUACGCUAAUACCGCAUACGACCUACGGGUGAAAGCAGGGGAUCUUCGGACCUUGCGCGAUUGAAUGAGCCGAUGUCGGAUUAGCGAGUUGGCGGGGUAAAGGCCCACCAAGGCGACGAUCCGUAGCUGGUCUGAGAGGAUGAUCAGCCACACUGGAACUGAGACACGGUCCAGACUCCUACGGGAGGCAGAAGUGGGGAAUAUUGGACAAUGGGCGCAAGCCUGAUCCAGCCAUACCGCGUGGGUGAAGAAGGCCUUCGGGUUGUAAAGCCCUUUUGUUGGGAAAGAAAAGCAGCAGGUUAAUACCCCGCUGUUCUGACGGUACCCAAAGAAUAAGCACCGGCUAACUUCGUG
rnacentral:rRNA from 1 species